rnacentral:rRNA from 1 species
UCUGGUGACUCUAGCGGUAAGGCAACACCUGAUCCCAUCCCGAACUCAGAAGUUAAGCUUACCAGCGCCGAUGGUAGCCCGCCAAAGUUUAUUUAACAAAAUAAGCUUUGGCGGGCAAGAGUAGGUCGUCGCCAGAA